rnacentral:rRNA from 1 species
CUACGGGUUGCAGCAGUAAGGAAUAUUGCGCAAUGGAGGCAACUCUGACGCAGCCAUGCCGCGUGCAGGAAGAAGGCCUUAUGGGUCGUAAACUGCUUUUAUUUAGGAAUAAACCCCCGAACGUGUUCGGGGCUGAAGGUACUAAACGAAUAAGCACCGGCUAACUCCGUGCCAGCAGCCGCGGUAAUACGGAGGGUGCAGGCGUUAUCCGGAUUUAUUGGGUUUAAAGGGUGCGCAGGCGGGCUAUUAAGUCAGUGGUGAAAUCCCGGGGCUCAACUCCGGAACUGCCAUUGAUACUGAUAGUCUUGAGUUUGGUUGAAGUGGGCGGAAUGUAGCAUGUAGCGGUGAAAUGCAUAGAUAUGCUACAGAACACCAAUUGCGAAGGCAGCUCACUAAGCCAAAACUGACGCUCAUGCACGAAAGCGUGGGGAUCAAACAGGAUUAGAUACCCGCGUAGUC